CCUACGGGGGGCUGCAGUGGGGAAUAUUGGACAAUGGGGGGAACCCUGAUCCAGCCAUGCCGCGUGUGUGAAGAAGGCCCUCGGGUUGUAAAGCACUUUCAGUGAGGAAGAACGCCUGGUGGUUAAUACCCAUCAGGAAAGACAUCACUCACAGAAGAAGCACCGGCUAACUCCGUGCCAGCAGCCGCGGUAAUACGGAGGGUGCGAGCGUUAAUCGGAAUUACUGGGCGUAAAGCGCGCGUAGGUGGCUUGAUAAGCCGGUUGUGAAAGCCCCGGGCUCAACCUGGGAACGGCAUCCGGAACUGUCAAGCUAGAGUGCAGGAGAGGAAGGUAGAAUUCCCGGUGUAGCGGUGAAAUGCGUAGAGAUCGGGAGGAAUACCAGUGGCGAAGGCGGCCUACUGGACUGACACUGACACUGAGGUGCGAAAGCGUGGGUAGCAAACAGGAUUAGAUACCCUAGUAGUC
rnacentral:rRNA from 1 species